rnacentral:lncRNA from 1 species
AUAGCAGUAAAACCCUAGGUUCAACCACCGAAAACCCUAGAAUCUGGAGAGUCACCGGAAAAAGGUCAGGGAUGUCGGAAAAUCACCCAAAACAUCCACUGAGCAAAGAUCAGAGCAUCAAACAACAGUAAAAACUCCGAUUAUCCGUUCAGUACACAUCGUUCUCUCUGUAAACAAAAUCUCUCACAAAUAUCCGAAAAAAACCUUCGAUAAAACUUCCAACGCAAUCGAUAACAAGUGACGGAGAAGAAUCCGAGAAUCAUCCCGCUCUGAU